UGACGCUGGCGGUAGGCUUAACACAUGCAAGUCGAGCGAGAAAGUAUCUUCGGAUACGAGUAUAGCGGCGGACGGGUGAGUAACGCGUAGGAAUCUACCUAGUAGAAGGGGAUAGCCCGGGGAAACUCGGAUUAAUACCGUAUACCUCCUUUGGGAGAAAGAGGGCCUCUCUUGAUGCUCUCGCUAUUAGAUGAGCCUGCGUAAGAUUAGCUUGUUGGUAAGGUAAUGGCUUACCAAGGCUACGAUCUUUAGCUGGUCUGAGAGGACGAUCAGCCACAUUGGGACUGAGACACGGCCCAGACUCCUACGGGAGGCAGCAGUGGGGAAUAUUGGACAAUGGGCGCAAGCCUGAUCCAGCCAUACCGCGUGUGUGAAGAAGGCCUUCGGGUUGUAAAGCACUUUAAGCAGGGAGAAAAAGUUAUAAGUUAAUACCUUAUAGCCGUGAUGUUACCUGCAGAAUAAGCACCGGCUAAUUCCGUGCCAGCAGCCGCGGUAAUACGGAAGGUGCAAGCGUUAAUCGGAAUUACUGGGCGUAAAGCGCGCGUAGGUGGUUUGUUAAGUUGGAUGUGAAAGCCCUGGGCUCAACCUAGGAACUGCAUCCAAAACUAACUCACUAGAGUACGAUAGAGGGAGGUAGAAUUCAUAGUGUAGCGGUGGAAUGCGUAGAUAUUAUGAAGAAUACCAGUGGCGAAGGCGGCCUCCUGGAUCUGUACUGACACUAAGGUGCGAAAGCGUGGGUAGCGAACAGGAUUAGAUACCCUGGUAGUCCACGCCGUAAACGAUGACAACUAGCUGUUGGGAGACAAUGUCUUUCAGUGGCGCAGCUAACGUUUUAAGUUGUCCGCC
rnacentral:rRNA from 1 species